rnacentral:rRNA from 1 species
UUGAACGCUGGCGGCCGGCCUAACACCUGCCAGUCGCACGGUAACAGGAAGAAGCUUGCUUCUUUGCUGACGAGUGGCGGACGGGUGAGUAAUGUCUGGGAAACUGCCUGAUGGAGGGGGAUAACUACUGGAAACGGUAGCUAAUACCGCAUAACGUCGCAAGACCAAAGAGGGGGACCUUCGGGCCUCUUGCCAUCGGAUGUGCCCAGAUGGGAUUAGCUAGUAGGUGGGGUAACGGCUCACCUAGGCGACGAUCCCUAGCUGGUCUGAGAGGAUGACCAGCCACACUGGAACUGAGACACGGUCCCGACUCCUACGGGAGGCAGCAGUGGGGAAUAUUGCACAAUGGGCGCAAGCCUGAUGCAGCCAUGCCGCGUGUAUGAAGAAGGCCUUCGGGUUGUAAAGUACUUUCAGCGGGGAGGAAGGGAGUAAAGUUAAUACCUUUGCUCAUUGACGUUACCCGCAGAAGAAGCACCGGCUAACUACGUG